GCCGUUGUGGCUCAGUGGUAGAGCACUUCCUUGGUAAGGAAGAGGUCGAGGGUUCAAUUCCCUCCAACGGCUCCA
rnacentral:tRNA from 1 species